CACGUAGGGCGCGAGCGUUGUCCGGAAUUAUUGGGCGUAAAGAGCUCGUAGGCGGCCUGUUGCGUCCGCUGUGAAAGCCCGGGGCUUAACCCCGGGUCGGCAGUGGAUACGGGCAGGCUAGAGGUAGGUAGGGGAGAAUGGAAUUCCCGGUGUAGCGGUGAAAUGCGCAGAUAUCAUUUGGAACGCCAACGGAGAAAUCAGCUCGCUGGGGGUGUGCUGACGCUGAGACACGAAAGCCAGGGGAGCGAACGGG
rnacentral:rRNA from 1 species